rnacentral:misc_RNA from 1 species
GAAAUGCGAUAAGUAAUGUGAAUUGCAGAAUUCAGUGAAUCAUCGAAUCUUUGAACGCACCUUUCGCUCCUUGGUAUUCCUUGGAGCAUGCCUGUUUGAGUAUCAUGAAAUCUUCAAAGUAAAUCUUUUGUUAACUCAAUUGGUUUCUACUUUGGUAUUGGAGGUCUUUGCAGCUUCACACCUGCUCCUCUUUGUUCAUUAGCUGGAUCUCAGUGUUAUGCUUGGUUCCACUCGGCGUGAUAAGUUAUCUAUCGCUGAGGACACUGUAAAAGGUGGCCAAGGUAAAUGCAGAUGAACCGCUUCUAAUAGUCCAUUGACUUGGACAAUACUUUUAUGAUCUGAUCACAAAUCAGGUAGGACUACCCGCUGAACUUAAGC